UUUGCGCGUCUGUAGAUUAUCUACCGUCUGUAGUAUAUACUAUAAAUUGUAAUUUAAGAGCCGUUUUGUUGUGUGACCAGCUUGCGGUAAAAAUAUUGCCUUUUUAUUGAAUGUCAAAACUCGCGAAGUAUGUUUAAUGUGCUUUAAUCCUUUAAUUCACUAAUCGAAAAAAAAACAAACCCAGAAUGGUGAAAAUAUGUUUUCGCUUGAAAUUAUUACUAUUCUAGAGUGUUAAGGGAUUGAUCACACCACCACGGAUAUGACAACAACAACCAAACAUAUUAAGACUUCCCGGCAUUAGAAACAACUAUCCGGUUUAUUUAUCAUCGAUUGUGG